AUUAAAGUUUGGAAUCAUACACUACCAAAAAAAAAUUAUGUUUUAGUCACGGUUGCUAAAUUAACUAAAAAAUUAGAACUUCUCUGCACUUUAAAAAAAACGUGGCAAAAAUAUCAUGGCUAACAUGGGCGGCAAAAAUAUUUCAUUCCCUCCCUUUACCUCCAACAGUGAAAAAGUAUUAUUUUGUCACACUUCUAACCCAAAAAUCUCUUUUCCCCCAAAGAAACUCAAAGCAAGCUUUUUUUUCUCAGCCCCAAAAUGCAAAUCGCAACUUUGCUUCACAAUUUUGGCUUGAGUUCUUAAAAUUUAACUGUUCUUCAAUUUUUCUAUCUUUAAUUGUAGCCGAAAGCGGAAAAAGUACUUUCAGACUCUUGUUUCUCUGUAUUGCCUGUAAGAUCCUUUUCAACACCUACCUGUGUGAUCCCCUCAAUACUGGCAUCAAGGCUAGGUUGUUGCCCAUCUGUAUCUGCUUCUGCUAACUGCCUAUCUUCUUGGGGUAUCUCCUAUAGUUUUCCUGAACUUUCUGCUAUCUCACCUUCUUUUGUUGACAUACCUUUUACUGCCUCAUUGAUUUUUCCAAAUAAGGUUUCUAACCAGGGUUUGCAAUAUUGACUCUAUGUUGUUUUAGUAUCAUUGUUCUCUUGUGAAGUUUCUACGUUGUUUAACCGAACAUGUGAUUUGCUUUUUUGUGUGUGUGGAUAAAGCUACAACUGUUGAAUUUGCUAUAUCUUGAACGUAAUAUUCAGUUUAUUAGUGUAAAAUACCUGAAGCAUAUUAAACAUUUAUAGGAUGCUUAGUGGGACAAUAAAACAUAUGUUCUUGGCCCGAAAAGUUAAAAUAGAAAUAUAUUAUAAAUAAACUUUUAGACCUAAAUUUAACUUCAACUAUGGCGAAAUUAUGUUCGGAGAAAAUAGUGGUUUCUCACCAAAAGCCUCCUGUGUGGUAAUUCAGUUGCUUGAUAUGUGAUAUAUUGUAUACAAAUAUAGGAUAAGUAGAUGUGUUAAGACUGGAUGUACGUUUUUCUUGGAGAAUGAUUUAAAACUGAAUAUAUAUACUGCAAUUUAUUAAACAUGAGAAGAGUGAAGUUGAGGUGAGGAUAUCCUACUAGGGUGUUAUGUGAUAGGUUGAUGUCUAUCAAAGUGAAAAGUAGGUUUUAAAGAGUAGUUAUCUAGACCAGAAUUUUUAUAUGGUAAUAAAUAUUGGGCAACCAAAGUCCAAUAUAUCGAUUGGAUAAGUGUUUUAAACUCAACAUAGGUUCUUUACUAUUGAGUGAAGGAGUUUUUGUGGUCAUAAUUGUUAUAUAUCUAGGAAGGGUGUUCUCUACAAAUCUAUGAUUGUAGAAGGGAGUGUCUUUACAUGUAAGACUGAUUAUGUUGAUAUAGAAAGAUGGACAGUUGUAACAUUAUUGUGUUUGUUCCAACUCAUUUAAAUCAUAGAGUUACUAUUUGAAGUUGACUAUGCUAUUUAAAGCACAAAUUUGCAACGGAAUAUUAUUCUGUGAUAGAGAUUAUCAAAUCUGUGAUGGACAUGAAGAUCCAUCACAUUUUUCCCUGUCACAAAUCUUUGUUUUUUCUUGUGGUACACUAAGGUAUAAAAUAUAUGAAAUUUCUUCAAUUUACCUUUACUCUUGGAGAAAUUCAGCUCAAGAGUUUCACAUGGUAGAAUUCGAGCAGUGACUAAACAAACAUUUGAUCCAAUCUGCAAUUGGAUUCUUCGCUUUGCUUAGUUGGUGAUUUAGUGCAGUAGGCUUGAAUAAUUGGUACUAAAUAACCAUAGGCUAUGUUGUGAAGAGGGUGACACUGAUUAGUUGGCUAAGUGAUAUGUAUUAGUUAUUUAGAUGCUUAAUUAGUGAAUUUUAAUGAGUAAGAAUAUGAUGUUAGAUUAAUAAAGCUAUGCAUAUUUGUAUCAUAAAAGGUUAAACUGAUCUUAACUUGAUUGUUGCCACUUUUUUAAAGCUAUGCAUAUUUCUGCAACUGUUAGUAAGAGUUUCAAUUUUGUAAAAUCUUAUUUGAAUGUAGUGGCUGUGUAAUUGUUUAUUAUAUGAGAAUUUUUAGUACUUAUUAAUAUCUUAGCCUUAUUUCUCACGUAUAUUGAUUUUUCAUAUUUGAAAUAGCUUCAUUCCAACAUGAUUGACAAGAGUUGAAUUUGGAAGCCAAUUAAAUCAAAAGAAUUCUCAGAUGGCGUAGUCCAAUUUUUGGACUUUUUCUUUUCAAAAGUGUCUGUAGAUGGAAAAAUUCCUGUCUUUGUACUACAUGUGGAUUUUCUAUUAUGCGUAAUAGAGCUGAAGUUUUUAGUCAUCUUCUUCAAAAGAGAUUUCCAGAAAAGUACACAUGUUGGUUUAUGCAUGGCGAAAAGAUGUAGUUUCUAAUGUAGCAUCAACAACCCGAUUACAAUCUGAGUCGGUUAGAAAAUAUCCUAUGCAAGAUAUGUUGAAUGAUGCUUUUGGUGUCUUUAAUGAUGAUAGUUUUCAAGAUUCUAGUCCAUCAAAUUUGUCAGAUAAUGACCAUUCUUGAGGUGCUGAAGGCCAAAGUCAGGAAGAGAGAUAAAAUUAAGGAGUUGUUGGAGGAUGGUAAUCAAGAACUUUAUGGUGGUUGUGCAAAAUAUAGUAAAUUGUCAUUCAUUGUUCAUCUUUAUCAUAUUAAAGUUUUAUCUGGUGCAACUGAUAAAACAUUCUCAAUAAUUUUUUAUUCAUUUUAGCAUCAUUGUGUUACUUGGGGAAACCAAUGCUUUUUCUGUGUUUUGGUUGGUGAGCCAUUAGAUCCAUUUUUCUGAGCGAAGAAUUUGUUUGUCGGUCAAUUAGCUACAUCUAUGUAGAGUCCAGGUUCCACUUGAGAUAGUAACAUCAAUCUGAAAAUUGAAUGAUUAAAUUUAUCUUUGCAAGGAUGGGUGUGCUAUAGAGAUCAAAAAGUUAGGAGGUUACCCUGGCAGAAUUGUGAUAGAAAAAGUUUGUCUAUUAUUUCUAUGUGAGUCCUGGUGAGUAAGCUGCCUGAUGCUAGUGUCCAUAUGUUCAUGAAUUAAUUGUGAUAUGGGCAAUAUGGUCUGGACAACACUCUAGUAAGAAAUAAAUAAAUAAAUCUUAGUUAUCUUUCACUCUUAAGCCUUAUAAAAAAGUUAUAUUUUACUCUAAAACUGCAAAUACUCUUGUUAGAUAUAUUACCAAGCUCUUACUCAUCUCUUUAAUUCUUUGAAGCUGUAUAGUUCUUCAUCUUAUUUUUAGAGAGUUCUCCUUUUGCAUUGAUACAUGUGUUUGUUAUAUUUGAAGGAUGGUGGUAGUAUGCAAUACCUCCAGAACCUGUUAAAAUAAUUGAUUGCCAAAAUUAAGAUGUAUCGUAGGAGUAACUGCUACAGAUCUACUAGAAGAGUAUAUGUAGAGACUGUCUUCUUUUUGUUUCCUAGAUGUGGAGAAGAUUAUCAAAUGUACGUUCGACUAUAUAUGCACAAAUAUUCUAUACAUGUAAAAAAAAGUAAUGUGGAAGCUUAUUGAGGUAACUACCUAACUUUUUUUUAUACAAUUUUGUGUUUGUGCCUCUCUACUAUUAAUGGAAUUGAAGUUUGAGAAUUACAGAAAUAAUGUGCACAAAAUGCAAAAAAUAGAAAGAAACUUAAAGUUUCGCAUACUGGUGGUAGCAAAAGCAAUGCAAGGAGAGGUCGUCAGAUGGAACAAAAAUUGGGAAGGCCUUUGUGUCGAAGUGAGGUUAUUUUGUCAACUUUACUGAAGAAGGAUGGCAAUUUUGUGGAUGAAGAAGGGAAGAUUUUAGCUGUAAGAUUCAUAUACUUGUCCAUAUUCAAAUUUCAAUUCUGGUGUUGAUUUAUUCAUGUCUGGUUUUACUCCGCUAGCUAUCAUAAAUGGUGGCGAGCUUCAAAAGUUGUUGAAGUUCAUAAAAAUAUAAAAGUAUUUAUCUCGAGAUCUCGAGAAGUAGCGAGACAAAAAAUAGUUUAGUGAACGGUGGUGGAUUUUGGUGGAUGAAUAAUUGGUAGUAGAUUCCACAUGUCGGAUUUCACUCGGUAUGUUGUGUUGUACCUUUGAUGUGUUGUAGAUGUAUUUUGUCAUAAUAUUGUAAAUGUUAAUUUGAGGAACAUGUUACACCGAGGUAUAGUUUGUAUUCGUUGAGUUGUAUUGCAUUUAUGGAUUGGUCUCCAUAUGUUAAUUUCUCUGGGCAGUGUGUUGAAGUAGCUGCUCUGAUGAUAAACUUAGCUUGUAGAAAGAACUUGCUUGAGUUAAUAUGGUCUCUCUAUUCAUGGUUUUGUGUUUGGUCUGAUGUUCCAUCAUGAUCUUGGACUUCAACACAGAUUAACAUGCGUACGAGAUAUGGGAAAUGAUCCAACCAUGGGUCUGGAAUAGACUUAUUAUCUUUCAAUGCUUCCCACUGAUUAAGUCUUGCUAUGAUCGCUCUCUCAUUUGUUAACUAAAGCUUGUCGACUGGUCUCCUGUAAUGUUCAACAUUCACUCUUGAGAAUAUAUUUAGGUUGUAGUGGCUUUGGGGUUAAUUAUUAUAUGGAGAGCUUAGUAACAAUUAUCCUUCCAGAACCCACUUUGUGGAUAUUUUGUUGUUGUCAUAGAAUCACGUAGCCAAGGAAUUCAAUCUCCCUAUGGAAUUGCAUUCAUAUUAUAAUUUGUAGACUAACAUGUGUUCUUGCCUUGAAUUCUUAUUAUGUGGGGUUUUUAGACUUUGGGACUUUGGUCUCAAUCAACUCGGUGUUUUGAUAAGAUUUUCAAUCUACUUAUAGUGCUAUAACUGAAACAUGGUCCUGGCUUGAUCCCAUAUAUUUAAAAAUUAUAGGUCAUUGGUUGUGAUCUCUUCUUUGCGAGAAGGCCAGUACAUAAGUUUUAGGGAGCUUGGGAGAUAUUAGGAUGAUAUUCUCUAAUUGCUAAUUGUAAAGUUCUUUGUGCUUUUGCUUCAUCUGCCUCUCCUAGAAAAUGCAAAUUUACUUGCUUUGUGAUUGUGUAAAUGUUUCCUUCAGUUACAUGAUUGUAGACAUAUGACAAAACAUUCUUGCUUUCUCUUUAUAUUUUUCUUGCCUUUAGCUGUGCAUAUACAAGUUUAUAUGUGUAUGAAGUUUCUUGUUCGUGAGUUGAGUGUUGUCAAUGGUUUCGAAUAUAUGUUUUUUAGUAGUAUCUUGUGGCUCUAGUAUUAUAAUGUGGAAUUCACUGGGUAUGUUGUUGUUGUACAGACAUUAGUUGUUCAAACUUCCACAUUGCAGACUUAAGUUAGUUCUCUACCUCUUAGAAUCCUAAGGUCUUGGAUCCCAUGUCAAGGUCUUCAUCUCAGCUCAUAAUUUAUAUUCUAGUUGUUCAUUUGUAUUAGUAAAAUAGAGAAAUAUAUGUGCAAGAAAGUGCAGCUCAAAUUCUGUUUCUUUUUAAUAUUAAAGAUAAUACUAAGCCUGCGUGAGAAUUAUUUUUACUUGAAGCUAUAAUGAUGGAACAGUCUGUAGUCUUCGUAAACUGACAUCAGAGUGAAAACUAACCAGUAGCUUUGACGUUGGUGCCAUUCUAAGCAGGCAAUAUUUUGCUUGUAGGAUACACCGGGUAUGUUGUUAUUGUAAUUGCUUGAAUUAAUACCCAACUCUAUUACAGUGAGGCCUUAUUGGUACGAGGAUAUCUCAUUUAUCUAUUUUGCUUGUAGGAUAAAAUAUUGGGGACUACCUGAAGAUCAACAACUUGCUAUCAGUUAUGAUGUUUCUUUGAAGAUACUAGCUCAUCCUAAUGAUGCCAUUGAAAAAGUGUUUAGACCUAAACAUUUUGGACGCGUUUUUUUUGUAAUGAUAGUUGAAAAAUACUAAAUAAAUUAUACUAUUCAUAUA